CUGUGGUGAGGUAGUAAGUUGUGUUGUUGUGGGGUGUGGGAUAUUGCAAACCCCUAUUUUGGAGAUACAACUAUACAACUUACUGCCUUCCACAA
rnacentral:pre_miRNA from 1 species